rnacentral:rRNA from 1 species
AGAGUUUGAUCCUGGCUCAGCGUGAACGCUGGCGGCAUGGCUAAAACAUGCAAGUCGAACGGCAAAGUUGUAGCAAUACAGCAAGUAAGUGGCGAAAGGGCGAGUAAUACGUUUCUAACGUGCCCCGGACUUGGGGAUAGCUCACCGAAAGGUGAAUUAAUACCCGAUGAUGCUGACGGGUCUCAUGGCCUGUCAGCCAAAGGUUUACUGGUCUGGGAUCGGGAAACGUCCUAUCAGCUAGUUGGUGAGGUAACGGCUCACCAAGGCUAAGACGGGUAGCGGGUGUGAGAGCACGGCCCGCCGCAUCGGGACUGAGACACUGCCCGGACUCCCACGGGAGGCUGCAGUAACGAAUAUUCCGCAAUGGACGCAAGUCUGACGGAGCGAUGCCGCGUGCAGGACGAAGCCCCUCGGGGUGUAAACUGCUGUCAGGGUUUAGCAAAAAAAUGAGCAGACCCAAAGGAAGAGACGGCUAACUCUGUGCCAGCAGCCGCGGUAAUACAGAGGUCUCGAGCGUUACGCGGAUUUACUAGGGCUUAAAGGGUGCGUAGGCGGGUUCGUAAGUGCUUUGUGAAAUCCCACGGCUUAACCGUGGAAUAGCUUGGCAUACUGCGAGCCUUGAGGUCGGUAGAGGUCGCUGGAACUCUAGGUGGAGCGGUGAAAUGCGUAGAUAUCUAGAGGAACGCCAAAGGUGAAGACAGGCGACUGGGCCGAUUCUGACGCUGAGGCACGAAAGCGUGGGUAGCGAACGGGAUUAGAUACCCCGGUAGUCCACGCCCUAAACGAUGCGCACUAGAUCGUGGAGGCUCUGACGCCAUCAUGAUCGAAGCAAAAGUGUAAGUGCGCCGCCUGGGGAGUACGGUCGCAAGACUAAAACUCAAAGGAAUUGACGGGGGCUCACACAAGCGGUGGAGCAUGUGGCUCUAUUCGAAGCAACGCGAAGAACCUUAUCCAAGGCUUGACAUGCACGGAUUAGGUCGCUGAAAGGCGACUGACGCUCUUGCAGUGGAACGUGCACAGGUGCUGCAUGGCUGUCGUCAGCUCGUGCUGUGAAGUGUCGGGUUAAGUCCUUCAACGAGCGAAACCCCUGUCGUUAGUUGCCACCAGGUUAUGCUGGGGACUCUAGCGAGACUGCCGGUGUCAAACCGGAGGAAGGUGGGGAUGACGUCAAGUCCUCAUGGCCUUUAUGCCUUGGGCUGCACACGUGCUACAAUGGCGCGUACAGAGCGAAGCGAGACCGCAAGGUGGAGCAAAUCGCAAAAAACGCGCCCCAGUUCAGAUUGGGGUCUGCAACUCGACCCCAUGAAGUUGGAAUCGCUAGUAAUCGAGGAUCAGCUACGCCUCGGUGAAUGUGUUCCUGAGCCUUGUACACACCGCCCGUCAAGCCAUGGGAGCCGGGAAUACCCGAAGUCGUCUCGAUUCAGAGAUGCCGACGGUAGGCUCGGUGACUGGGGCUAAGUCGUAACAAGGUA